UGCUCGUUACCUUACUGAGACAUCUCUUGUGACCGUGCAUGGUCAGUGUCACCAACGGCGCAACGAGGCGGAGCGCCGGGAUCGAGCGUGUAAAAAUGCUCUGCAUUAGCAGCUCCUGUAGUGUAGAAUGAACACUUCAUCCAUCGAUUGCCGCUAUGCAUUUCGUGUUGUGGUCACAGAUAAUCUGGGCAAAUGUAAAACUACCAACUGGAGAGUGCUAUGUUGUUAGGGACGUGUCCCAAAGUGUCAUCACAUGGCUGUGGAGACUAGUACACACCUGGAGGAAUAUUUCUACAACAGUGAUACGGAGUGAUAUGGAGUGCAGAUGGAUGAAUAGAAAAGAAAACUGAGAUGAUGGGAAGUAAGUACAUGUCAUGUAAGUAAUUAGUUGAUUGUGUGGAAGAAAUUUGAAACAAGAUAAAAUAAAAGUUUCACUCAAACAUACAUGUAACAUCCUGAUUAGUAUUCCGUCUUCAUUUUUCCAGGUAGUGGCACUCCACACGCUCCGAUUACCUGGUGUGUGUGUGUGUGUGUGUGUGUGUGUGUGUUUGUGUGUGUUUGUGUGUAUGUGGGCACUCCAGUCUCCCCGGAGGUGUGGGUUCGAAUCCCACCGCUGCCACCAGUGUUAGCUGCUCCCGGCUAAUGAAGUCCCCUCACACCAAAACACAAGAGUUUUAUAGUAUUGAAUUAUGCAAGUCUUGAGUGUAGACAAGAAGGAGAACAGGACAAUGACAACUCAAGACUAGUGCCAGCUAGUUCGGUUCGUAGGUACACUUAUGCCUGAUUGUGUUGGGUCUGUUGCCAACAGGCUCGGCUGCUUGAAGGUGUAAUGUUGUACCUGCCACCUUUGUUGGUUCCAGGGUUCAUAUACUUUCUAUUUGAAGUAUACAUACCUGUUAACCAUGGACUGCUUCUGGCUAGAUUAACUCUAGUGUAAUCAAUGGUGCUAGUGAAGCUUAUAUCAGAUCCACUCUGAUUUAGCCACCCACACUAGUAGCAAGUAUUACAUUCACUGGGGGCAGGGGUAACUGCAGUUGGAUCCCGGGACGGAUACCCUGAUUCCGUCAAUCCUUUUUCUGCAACUUGUCCUCGCCCACUUACUGAGGUGUGGUGAGCCCAUAAGUGGGAUCAUUUUCAAGUCCACCCAGAGUUUUGGGGAUUUCAGAGGGUUUCAGCCAUUGGGCGGUUCAAUAGCCAAUAGAGUCAUCUUUCCAAGAUUCCUUUUGAGUCUCUCUCCCCUCUCCCGGGGAGACCCACGUGACCCAGUUUUGACAGUGAGCAACAAGUACAAGUGUGUGUGUGUGUGUGUGUGUGUGUGUGUGUGUGUGUGUGUGUGUGCGUGUGCUUGCGUCCAUAGCCCUUCCAAAGACCCUUGGAGUGCCUGAGGACAUUGGUCACAUCGUACGGGAGCGGCGUUUGCGCUGGCUUGGACACGUGACACGGAUGGAAGAUUACCGGUUGCCCAAGUGUGUUCUCUUCGGUGAACUGCCUGCCCCGCGUCCCGCGCAUGGUCCAGGCAAGAGGUGGAGGGACGUCAUUAUGGAUGACGUUUCGUCGGUUGAGCCACCGGUACCAACAUGUUGAUGGUACGGUGCAGCCCAGAACAGUCCGGAGUGGCGUACCAUUGCCCGUCGACCACCCAAGGCACCCUCUGCUGCUGGCUACGGUUGCGCCUGCGGCCGCACGUUCCGUCGAAGGGGUCGACCUGAAACGCCAUCAGUCGUUCUGUUGUGGACUGGAGAAAUAACUAUGCGCUAUCAUUGUUACGCAAUGGGCAAGGUCAAGGUUCAAGGCAAGAUGCACGUCAUGAAGCAUUCGGCCCGUGAUCUCAGUGUCUGGUAGCUUAUGUAGCUGUGGUUGUAUGGGUGAUCAAAGAUGAUACUCUGCAUAUCAAUUUAAGUGUGAAGUAUUUGUGCUCUGCCCAUACAACACAGCAACAAAGACAGAGUUACAUAGCCAGUGGCUGGCAAUGGUGAAGUAAUCAUAUGAAUAUGUGUUAGUAUUCCUGACCUAUUGUAAGCAAGUAAGCUCAUCAUUACUACAAGACUAAUAGUAUUACUAGCAGCAGACAUGACGUCAUUCUCCUGUUUACAUACCUCUAAUAUCUGUAUCUACAGCUGCAGCAGUAGUGGGUACCAUGGCAACACAGUACACACUUUAUCUCCCUCCCGUGUUCAGUUUUACUGCUCUGCACACACCAUCGUGGUGUGGUUGGCGUGUGUUGUGUGGUUUUGUUCUCAGCAUCUUCAGCAUAGUACACGUAGUGAAUCAUGUACCGGGUUACUUUCCAUCGCCUGCUGCCUCCGCCGCCGUUUACGUAUCAUUUUUAUUGAGAUGACGUGAGUUUACCGUGAUCAGUGAUUUCCCCGUCACCCCGGCUUGCCUGCUGUCAUACUGAAAGCUCUCCAAUCUAUUGAAUCUAUCCUUUUUGUUCUUGCCUGCAACAGCAAUCAACACUCUACCAUCUAUUUACUGUUGUUUUGUACGUCGCUGCACGUUUGAGCCA